rnacentral:lncRNA from 1 species
UAACCAUUGAUCCAGCAACAGGAAGUACCAAGCAUAGUCUGCCUUCUGGCCUUUCAAGAGGAAAGAACCACUCCUAAUUUAUGCAAUGCAAUUUGGAGUUUCAAAUUCAAACAUAUGUUGCCAUACUUUUGCUUUGGAUGAAUGAAGUGUUGGUCACACAGGAGAGGAAACCAUGGAAAAUUCUGGGAUGGCAGCUGGAGUCAAACUUGCAGUAGUACACUGCUAUCACUGACAUCUACAAGCAGUUGUAGGAACAACUGAGUGUGUGAGACCAACCAUAAGCCCCUCCUGAGGACAGUUUCACUAACCAAUACAGGCAGUCAAACACUGUGAGUCAAUAUCUUCUGCCUUCUUCCCCAUCCAUCUCCCAUAACAGGAGCAAAUUAAUCAGAAUUUAUUAAAAAGUUGCACUGAGUUCUCAUCACUUGCCUUUUGAUUUUUGAACAUAUUUUCCCACUUCCCUUCAAAAUACAUCACUUUCCUAAACGGCGAUUGUGGUA